rnacentral:lncRNA from 1 species
UUACAUCAGGUACCUACAGGGAUGAUCCAACAGAGGAUUUAGCUUUCCAUACUAGGAAGCCUUCUUAACAACAAAGAGAAGAACAAGAUGAAAGAUCGCAAAAAUACAAGUGGUGAGGAUGACUGCUUCACCUCAAGGAUCUCAUAAUCACUCACAAACUCAUCUUAAGCUCUCAAACCGACUCUUGCUUCAAGCUCUGGUCUCUACAGAUCUUCACAUAGCAAAAUCUCUCAAAACUUGGACCUUUC